UCUUCCCUCUGGCGGCGUGCCUAAUACAUGCAAGUCGAGCGAACGGACGAGAAGCUUGCUUCUCUGAUGUUAGCGGCGGACGGGUGAGUAACACGUGGAUAACCUACCUAUAAGACUGGGAUAACUUCGGGAAACCGUAGCUAAUACCGGAUAAUAUUUUGAACCGCAUGGUUCAAAAGUGAAAGACGGUCUUGCUGUCACUUAUAGAUGGAUCCGCGCUGCAUUAGCUAGUUGGUAAGGUAACGGCUUACCAAGGCAACGAUGCAUAGCCGACCUGAGAGGGUGAUCGGCCACACUGGAACUGAGACACGGUCCAGACUCCUACGGGAGGCAGCAGUAGGGAAUCUUCCGCAAUGGGCGAAAGCCUGACGGAGCAACGCCGCGUGAGUGAUGAAGGUCUUCGGAUCGUAAAACUCUGUUAUUAGGGAAGAACAUAUGUGUAAGUAACUGUGCACAUCUUGACGGUACCUAAUCAGAAAGCCACGGCUAACUACGUG
rnacentral:rRNA from 1 species